AUUGAACGCUGGCGGCAUGCCUUACACAUGCAAGUCGAACGGUAACAGGUCUUCGGAUGCUGAUGAGUGGCGAACGGGUGAGUAAUACAUCGGAACGUGCCCGAGAGUGGGGGAUAACGAGGCGAAAGCUUUGCUAAUACCGCAUACGAUCUCAGGAUGAAAGCAGGGGACCGCAAGGCCUUGCGCUCACGGAGCGGCCGAUGGCAGAUUAGGUAGUUGGUGGGAUAAAAGCUUACCAAGCCGACGAUCUGUAGCUGGUCUGAGAGGACGACCAGCCAAACUGGGACUGAGACACGGCCCAGACUCCUACGGGAGGCAGCAGUGGGGAAUUUUGGACAAUGGGCGCAAGCCUGAUCCAGCCAUGCCGCGUGCAGGAUGAAGGCCUUCGGGUUGUAAACUGCUUUUGUACGGAACGAAAAGGCUCUGGUUAAUACCUGGGGUCCAUGACGGUACCGUAAGAAUAAGCACCGGCUAACUACGUGCCAGCCGCCGCGGUAAAAC
rnacentral:rRNA from 1 species